UUGAUGGAGAUGAGGAGGCACAAAUUUAUAGAUAGUUUGCAUCUGAGACUUUUCCGUUAUGUCUCUCUUUUUCACCUUGGAAAUCUGAUGCAUCCU